rnacentral:rRNA from 3 species
UCCUCCAAGGCUAAAUACUCCUGACUGACCGAUAGUGAACCAGUACCGUGAGGGAAAGGCGAAAAGAACCCCGGCGAGGGGAGUGAAAAAGAACCUGAAACCGUGUACGUACAAGCAGUGGGAGCACAGGUUUACCUGUGUGACUGCGUACCUUUUGUAUAAUGGGUCAGCGACUUAUAUUCUGUAGCAAGGUUAACCGUAUAGGGGAGCCG